ensembl:lincRNA
CAGGGACCAAAGGUCUCCAGGGCCCAUUUAUUUCUGAGUUUCCCGGGCUGACAUUCAUUCUGCGGGCUCCCACGAGAGCGAAGCUCCGAUGCCGAGGCUGGUGACAGUGGCGCUGUGCCUGCUGGCCCUCAUCCUCCAGCUCCCGAGCCCCCAUGCUACAGUUGAGCAGGACCUCAGAGAGAACAGGGCUGUGUGGGAUGGAGGUGGGUGCAUCUCCCCAGAGGACCUUGGGGACCCUCGGUGCCAGCAGCUGGCUGGGAGCUAUCAGGCAGGUCAUACUAAUAAUAUCACUGUAUGGGGACACACGACGAAGUCCACUGAGCCACGAGCUGGGUACAGUGACAAUAAUUCCUCACCCACAAGCACGCCAUUACAAGCUGACAACUCCGCUGCGGGCACCACACAUGGGGCCAGUCCUACUGAGUCCAGCCUACCACCUAACACGCUAGAUGAAACGACCACACUUUUCAACCCUUCUACUGAAUACAGUCCUUCACAAACAACUGAAGAUGGCAUCAGUCCCUCUCCACAGACGGACACAGUGCAAAGCAAUCCCUCAACAGCUCUUCCUCACAGUACCCCACCCAUGACGACUCCCAACGGGGCACGCACAUUUCCUGUUGAUGCCAACCCAUCCUUGACCACUGUAGUUGAAGCCAGCUCUUCUCCGACCACAGUGGAAGGCACCACCCUGUCUUGGCCAACUCCCAGUGAAGGCAGCAGUCCAUUAACUACUGUCCUCGUCAGCACGUUCCCUGGGACCAGUCCUACUGAGGCCAGCACUCCAGCAACAACUCCAGCUGCCACCACCACAUAUUUGCCCUCUUCUACAGAGGCCAUCUCAUCUUCUACCACUGUUGAAGGCACCACCGUUCCUUUGUCAACUCCGAGUCAAGGCGGCACGCCAAGUGCUAGUACUCACUUUAGCACUGCACCUGUCACGAGUCCCACUGAGGCCAGCAAACCUUCUGUUGAUGCAACCAUAUCUGUGACCCCUGUAGUUGAGUCCAGUUCUCCUACCACAAGGGAUGGCACCACCCUGCCUUGGUCAACUCCCAGUGAAGGCAGCAGUCCAUUAACAACUGUCCUUGUCAGCACCUUGGCUGGGACCAGUACACCUGAGGCCAGCACACCUCCUGUUGAUGCUACCACAUCUUUGACCACUGUCAUUCAGGGCCGUUCUUCCCCUACAACAGUGGAAGGCACCACCCUGUCUUUGUCAACUCCCAGUGAAGGCAGCAGUCCAUUAACAACUGUCCUCAUCAGCACAUUCCCUGGGACCAGUCCUAGUGAGGCCAGCACUCCAGCAACAACUCCAGUUGCUACCACCACAUAUUUGCCCACGACUACACAGACCAUCUCAUUUUCUACCACUGUUCAAGGCAACACCAUAACUUUGUCAACUCUGAGUGAAGGCGGGAUGCCAAGUGCAAGUACCCUCUUUAGCACCGCACCUGGCACCAGUGCCACCAAGGCCAGCACACCUCCUGUUGAUGCCACCACAUCUGUGACCCCUGUAGUUGAGUCUAGUUCUUCAGCGACCACAGUUGAUGGCACCACCCUGCCUUCGUCAACUCCCAGUGAAGGCAGCAGUCCAUUAACAACUGUCCUUGUCAGCACCUUGCCUGGGACCAGUGCCCCUGAGACUAGCACACCUCCUGUUGAUGCCACCACAUCUUUGACCACUGUAUUUGAAGCCAGUUCUUCUCCUACCACAGUGAAAGGCACCACCCUGCCUUGGUCAACUCCCGGUGAAGGCAGCAGUCCAUUAGCUACUGUCCUUGCCAGCACCAAACCUGGGACCAGUCCCCAUGAGGCCAGCACAACUUCUAUUGAUGCCACCACAUCUUUGACCACUGUAGUUGAGUCCAGUUCUUCUCCUACCACAGUGGAAGGAACCACCCUGCCUUUGUCAACUCCCAGUGAAGGCAGCAGUCCAUUAACAACUGUGCUUGUCAGCACGUUCCCUGGGACCAGUCCUACAGAGGCCAGCACACCAGCAGCAACUUCAGGAUCUACCACCACAUAUUUGCCCACGGCUACAGAGGCCAUCUCAUCUUCUACCACGGUUGAAGGCAACACCAUACCUUUGUCAACUCAGAGUCAAAGUGGCACUCCAAGUGCAAGUACCUUCUUUAGCCCUUCACCUGCCACCAGUGCCACUGACGCCAGCACACCUCCUAUUGAUGCCACCACAUCUGUGACCCCUGUAGUUGAGUCCAGUUCUUCAGUGACCACAGUUGAUGGCACCACCCUGCCUUCGUCAACGCCUAGUGAAGGCAGCAGUCCAUUAACAACUGUACUUGUCAGCACCUUGCCUGGGACCAGUGCCCCUGAGACUAGCACACCUCCUGUUGAUGCCACCACAUCUUUGACCACUGUAUUUGAAGCCAGUUCUUCUCC